UAGCAAUAUUCUGUAGUCGGAGCGGCGCAAGGGUGCGUAACACGUGGGUAAUCUGCCAAAAAGUUUGGGAUAACUUGCUGAAAGGCGAGCUAAUACCGGAUGUGACCGUCGGGAGGCAUCUCCUGAUCGUUAAAGUUGGGGACCGUAAGGCCUGACGCUUUUUGAUGAACCCGCGGCCUAUCAGCUAGUUGGUGAGGUAACGGCUCACCAAGGCUAAGACGGGUAGCUGGUCUGAGAGGACGACCAGCCACACUGGAACUGAGACACGGUCCAGACACCUACGGGUGGCAGCAGUCGAGAAUUUUUCACAGUGGGCGCAAGCCUGAUGGAGCGACGCCGCGUGGGGGAUGAAUGGCUUCGGCCCGUAAACCCCUGUCAUUCGCGAUCAAACCUUGUUAUUUAAAAGAUGACGAGCUGAUAGUAGCGGAAGAGGAAGGGACGGCUAACUCUGUGCCAGCAGCCGCGGUAAUACAGAGGUCCCAAGCGUUGUUCGGAUUCACUGGGCGUAAAGGGUGCGUAGGUGGCGAGGUAAGUCGGAUGUGAAAGCUCGGAGCUCAACUCCGAAAUGGCAUUGGAAACUACCUUGCUCGAGGGUUGGAGGGGGGACUGGAAUUCACGGUGUAGCAA
rnacentral:rRNA from 1 species